rnacentral:rRNA from 1 species
AACGAACGCUGGCGGCAGGCUUAACACAUGCAAGUCGAGCGCCCCGCAAGGGGAGCGGCAGACGGGGGAGUAACGCGUGGGAAUCUACCCAUCUCUACGGAAUAACGCAUGGAAACGUGUGCUAAUACCGUAUACGUCCUUCGGGAGAAAGAUUUAUCGGAGAUGGAUGAGCCCGCGUUGGAUUAGCUAGUUGGUGGGGUAAAGGCCUACCAAGGCGACGAUCCAUAGCUGGUCUGAGAGGAUGAUCAGCCACACUGGGACUGAGACACGGCCCAGACUCCUACGGGCGGCAGCAGUGGGUAAUAUUGGACAAUGGGCGCAAGCCUGAUCCAGCCAUGCCGCGUGAGUGAUGAAGGCCCUAGGGUUGUAAAGCUCUUUCACGGGUGAAGAUAUGGCGGUAACCGGAGAAGAAGCCCCGGCUAACUUCGUGCCAGCCGCCGCCGUAAAAC